GUCCCUUUUGCUGUCCAGAAAUCUCCCAAACUUGUGGCCGGUAACCUCUUCCUUUCUAUCCUUUCCGAAGAUUCCCUUUGGAUGGAAGUCAGCUGUGAAUGCUCUCCUGAUUUGCAUUCAAUUGUAUAAAUUGUCAUAGCAUGUCACCACGGAGACUUCCUUGUUCGUGUCUAUAUGGUUCAUACAUGGCCUUCCCCUUAAUUAAAGAUGUC
rnacentral:lncRNA from 1 species